rnacentral:rRNA from 1 species
UACGGGAGGCAGCAGUGGGGAAUAUUGCACAAUGGGCGCAAGCCUGAUGCAGCCAUGCCGCGUGUAUGAAGAAGGCCUUCGGGUUGUAAAGUAUUUUUCAGCGGGGAGGAAGGCGAUGUGGUUAAUAACCGCGUCGAUUGACGUUACCCGCAGAAGAAGCACCGGCUAACUCCGUGCCAGCAGCCGCGGUAAUACGGAGGGUGCAAGCGUUAAUCGGAAUUACUGGGCGUAAAGCGCACGCAGGCGGUCUGUUAAGUCAGAUGUGAAAUCCCCCGGGCUUAAACCUGGGAACUGCAUUUUGAAACUGGCAGGCUUGAGUCUCGUAGAGGGGGUGAAAUUCCAGGUGUAGCGGUGAAAUGCGUAGAGAUCUGGAGGAAAUACCGGUGGCGAAAGGCGGGCCCCUGGACGAAGACUGACGCUCAGGGUGCGAAAGCGUGGGGAGCAAACAGGAUAGAUACC